CCCAAAUUAAUAGCGGCGACGUGUAUAACCAAUAGCGGCGACAUGUUGUCGCCCCUAUUGGCCCGACGAAUAAAGAAGGAAUCAGCGCCAUUUCUUCCCUCCACCUACUUUCCCCCAAAUCUUUUCACCUCCCUCUCUCCGGUUAGCGAAAAGUCGGCAUAAUCUCUCUAAAAUCGGCAUAAUCGCUUCUCCACCGGCACCACCUUGUCUCCACGGCCACCACCGGCACCACCUCGUCUCCUCGGCCACCACCGUCACCACCUCUUCUUCUCGUGCAAAAUAAGCACUAACGUCAGGGGAGGAGCUAAAGGGGGAGCACGGGCUACCCUCAACUCUGUUUCCGUAGUGUAAAAAUACCCUCUCAACCGCCGAACGAGGCUGCCAUGUUUCAAAACGUUUUGGGUGAUUGACGAGGAUGGUUCCGGGGGCUUGGGGCUAAACCUUCGAAUACGCCAUCGAACCGGUUUAGUGCGCAACCUCAAGCCGCACAACCCUUUUCGGAGGAAUACGUUUCGACUUUGUUCCAAAGUCCGGCAUUCGUAAACCAACUUGAAUCCUUUCUUGCGGCGAGGGGAAAGCAAGUCGCACCCGACGAUGAGUAUGACGAUGACGACCUAACUUGAAUCCUUCUUUGCGGAUUAGAAUGUUAUUUUUCGGAUAUUUUAGGAUGUUAUUGUACGGAAAUGUUUUAUGCGAUUUUAGUAUGUAAAGCAUUAUGUUUGUUCA